GCAUUGAGUCCUAUUGCUAGAUGGUCACAUCGAUUAGUUCAAAAAUUUAUUCCUAUGCUACUGGCUUAGGUUUGAACCUAUGGGGUCACACUCAAAAAAAAUUUCAGUCUAAUCAAGUAGCUGAUCAACGAUUAAGAAUUGUUCAAGGGUGUAAUCAUCAAUACAAUUGAUAGUUAACCUAAUGCAAAAAUUAUAAUGAAUUAAUUUGCUAAGAAUUAAUGAAUUAUAGAAGG
rnacentral:lncRNA from 1 species